UACAGAGGGUGCGAGCGUUGUCCGGAAUCACUGGGCGUAAAGGGCGCGUAGGCGGCCUGAUAAGUAGGGGGUGAAAUCCUGUGGCUUAACUGCAGGGCUGCCUCCUAGACUGUUAGGCUCGAGCACGGUAGAGGCAGAUGGAAUUCCCGGUGUAGCGGUGAAAUGUGUAGAGAUCGGGAGGAACACCGGUGGCGAAGGCGGGUCUCUGGGCAAUUCCUGACGCUGAGGCGCGAAAGCGUGGGGAGCAAACGGG
rnacentral:rRNA from 1 species